ACGGAAGUCUGGGGAAAAGCCGGGGAAGAGCAGAGGAAGAAGAAACGGUGGAGAGCAUGACUUCCAGCGCGAACUGGCGGCGGUUGUAGCGCAUGCGCACCGGCGGGGGCGACGGGACGGUUGCUGCCCAGUAGUCGGCAGCUGUGUAGUUUUGAGUAGACACUGCUCCUUGUUCCGAGAGAUUCACCUUUCAGUAACCUGCUGGACAAGAGACUGAAUGAGAAGAUUUGGCAAUUCAAAUUGAUGGGAAGAGCUGGUACAAAUAAUGAAAUAUCUGCAAGAAGCAACAGAAGCAUGAUAGUGAUAUUGUGGGUGAAUCAUUAAAAUCUGAGUACUUGACAACAGAGAAAGUAAGCUAGCUGAAACAGUGUGAGGAGGUGGGUCACUCUCCUGAAUCAUUUUUAUCUCAGCUGCUUGUGGAAUCCAACUUUGAAUUGAAUAUGUUGACCUGGAACUCAAAAGGGAAGAUAUAUAGUGUGUGACUCAAAUGUUGAAUUUAUUUCUAUCAAGUACCUGUCAGGAAAGAGAAUCAAUUUUGAAGCAACAAAUUUCAAAGAGCUGCAGAUGGCUUUCAAAAGGAAUUUGAAUUAAAUAGCAUUCAAUGUUUCAAAA